GCACUGCUGAGGAGUCCUAUAAUAGGACGAAACGGCCUUCCAGUGC
rnacentral:hammerhead_ribozyme from 1 species